rnacentral:lncRNA from 1 species
UCAACCUCACAAAUGCAUAUAGUGAACAGAGGAAAAAGAUGGACAAGAUGGAAAGUGAUAUGGCCAAAAUGUAGGGAAUUUUACAACAUAUUGCAGAUGGAAAUGAAGCUCGAGCGCGAGAGGAUUGCAAAAGAGAUUCUUGAAAGGUCGUUGGGGAUGAACAAUGUCUACGUCAAGAAAAUAGAUGAUAGUAUAUAAGUUGUGGUUACAAAUAAAUGACAAAUAAAUCUUUUGUGCCUGCUGUUGGAGCAGACACAGACUGCAUUCUCUCCACCUUCACCUAGAAAGCAACACGUGCGAGACACAGAAUUGGGAAGCUCCUACUGUCUGGGUUAUGUUUAUAGUGUAUGAAAAUGUGCUAAAUAUGUUUAAACUGCCUCGAUUAUGAUUAGAGUUUCAUUGUUUUAAACUCAUGUGAUCUUUAUUAACAUGAAUUUCGGUGUAGGUGAUUACAU